rnacentral:rRNA from 1 species
AACUGCGAAUGGCUCAUUAAAACAGUUAUAGUUUAUUUGAUAAUCGAAAUUACAUGGAUAACCGUGGUAAUUCUAGAGCUAAUACAUGCUGUUAAGCCUGACUUCUUGGAAGGGCUGUAUUUAUUAGAUAACAAAUCAACAUUGGUGACGAAUCAUAAUAACUGAUCGAAUCGCAUGGGCCUUGCCCGCGAUAAAUCAUUCAAGUUUCUGCCCCAUCAGCUUUCGAUGGUAGUGUAUUGGACUACCAUGGCUUUCACGGGUAACGGAGGAUUAGGGUUCGAUUCCGGAGAGGGAGCCUGAGAAACGGCUACCACAUCUAAGGAAGGCAGCAGGCGCGUAAAUUACCCAAUCCUGACUCAGGGAGGUAGUGACAAGAAAUAACGGACCGAGGUUAUGCCUCGGGUUUGCAAUGAGUAGAAUUUAAACCCCUUUACGAGGAUCAAUUGGAGGGCAAGUCUGGUGCCAGCAGCCGCGGUAAUUCCAGCUCCAAUAGCAUAUAUUAAAGUUGUUGCAGUUAAAAAGCUCGUAGUUGGAUUUCUGGGAGGGUGCCAAUGUCCGCUGUUGCGUGUGCAGCGGCGCCCUUCCAUCCUUCUGUUAACGUUUCUGGUAUUCAGUUACUGGUCUCGGGCUCAGAUACUUUACCUUGAGAAAAUUAGAGUGUUCCAGGCAGGCUUGCGCCGGAAUACAUUAGCAUGGAAUAAUAGAAUAGGACUUUAGUCUCCUUUGUUGGUUUGAGGGACUGAAGUAAUGAUUAAUAGGGAUAGUUGGGGGCAUUAGUAUUUAAUUGUCAGAGGUGAAAUUCUCGGAUUUGUUAAAGACUAACUUAUGCGAAAGCAUUUGCCAAGGAUGUUUUCAUUAAUCAAGAACGAAAGUUAGGGGAUCAAAGACGAUCAGAUACCGUCGUAGUCUUAACCAUAAACUAUGCCGACUAGGGAUCGGAGGCGCGUUUUAUCCGCCUUCGGCACCUUAUGAGAAAUCAAAGUCUUUGGGUUCUGGGGGGAGUAUGGUCGCAAGGCUGAAACUUAAAGGAAUUGACGGAAGGGCACCACCAGGAGUGGAGCUUGCGGCUCAAUUUGACUCAACACGGGAAAACUUACCAGGUCCAGACAUAGUGAGGAU